rnacentral:tRNA from 1 species
UGGGUUGUGGCUCAGUGGUAGAGCACUUGCCUAGCAUGUGCAAGGCUCUGGGUUCAAUCCUCAGCACCACAU